rnacentral:lncRNA from 1 species
CACCGCAUUGGCAAAGCCAAGCCUGACUCCAGGGAGAGGGUAGAAGAAAUCUUUAAUCACAGGACGCCUCUGCAAACAGCUGCUGUUGGAGUACAGAGAAAUACUUUGUUCUCCUUAGUCUCUUUCUUGCCACUGAAGAGGGAUUUGAUUUGUCCUCACCCACUGCCAACCCAUAUCAACAUGUCAUUAUGGAACGGGGGGAACAGACUGCUUCAGAUAAGUGCUCCCUUUAAAAAUGGACCAACGCAAAAGUUUUUAGACAACUGGAAAACAGAGAGCCCAUUGCUAAGAGAAGUUCACUGA